UAUGUGAUCGUCUCUCGCAUAUCAAUAAGCGGAGGAAAAGAAACUAACAAGGAUUCCCCUAGUAACGGCGAGUGAAGCGGGAAGAGCUCAAAUUUGAAAUCUUAAAGGGUUUCCCUUUACGAAUUGUAGUUUAAAGAAGUGUUUUCCGUUGAGGUUCUGGUAAAAGUUCUUUGGAAUAGGACAUCAUAGAGGGUGAGAAUCCCGUAUUUGACCUUUACUUUCAACUUUGUGAUACACUUUCAAAGAGUCGGAUUGUUUGGGAAUGCAGUCCAAAAUGGGUGGUAAAUUUCAUCUAAAGCUAAAUAUUGGCGAGAGACCGAUAGCGAACAAGUACCGUGAGGGAAAGAUGAAAAGAACUUUGAAAAGAGAGUUAAACAGUACGUGAAAUUGUCAAAAGGGAAGCGUUUGACACCAGUGUUGUUUUUCUGAAAAUCAAUUAAAGAACUGUUUAUGCUAAGCUGUUUAGACUUUAUCAGCUAUCUGUUUAGUUUUGAGCUUUUCUUUAAUGCACUUUUCAGUUAACAAGUCAACAUCAAUUUCUUUUGCUGUAAAAAAGCUUGAGGAAGGUGGCUUGAGAUUCGUCUUAAGUGUUUAUAGCCUCUUGCCUAUGCAGUCGGAGAGAUUGAGGUCUGCAGCGUAGAUCCUUCGGGGCUUAGAUAGCACUUGUGCUAAGCUAUAGUCAUUUAUAGACAACUUGUUGACUAUGAUUCAGUCUUGUAGCUUACUCGCUUAUGCUAUUUUACCUACGCUUAGGAUGUUGAUAUCGCGCUCUCACUGC
rnacentral:rRNA from 1 species